rnacentral:rRNA from 1 species
UACGUAGGGGGCAAGCGUUGUCCGGAUUUAUUGGGCGUAAAGAGCGUGUAGGCGGCCAGGUAGGUCCGUUGUGAAAACUCGAGGCUCAACCUCGAGACGCCGAUGGAAACCAUCUGGCUAGAGUCCGGAAGAGGAGAGUGGAAUUCCUGGUGUAGCGGUGAAAUGCGCAGAUAUCAGGAAGAACACCCGUGGCUAAGGCGGCUCUCUAGUACGGUACUGACGCUGAGACGCGAAAGCGUGGGGGAGCGA